rnacentral:rRNA from 1 species
UACAGAGACUGCAAGCGUUGUUCGGAAUUAUUGGGCGUAAAGGGUGCGUAGGCGGUUUGGUAAGUCUCGUGUGAAAUCUCUGGGCUCAACUCAGAGACUGCACGAGAAACUGCCGGGCUUGAGUGUGGGAGAGGUGAGUGGAAUUUCCGGUGUAGCGGUGAAAUGCGUAGAUAUCGGAAGGAACACCGGUGGCGAAGGCGGUUCUCUGGGCCUUACCUGACGCUGAGGAGCGAAAGCGUGGGGAG